rnacentral:rRNA from 1 species
AGUCCACGCCGUAAACGAUGUCGACUAGCCGUUGGGAUCCUUGAGAUCUUAGUGGCGCAGCUAACGCAUUAAGUCGACCGCCUGGGGAGUACGGCCGCAAGGUUAAAACUCAAAUGAAUUGACGGGGGCCCGCACAAGCGGUGGAGCAUGUGGUUUAAUUCGAAGCAACGCGAAGAACCUUACCAGGCCUUGACAUGCAGAGAACUUUCCAGAGAUGGAUUGGUGCCUUCGGGAACUCUGACACAGGUGCGUAGCAUGGCUGUCGUCAGCUCGUGUCG